UUACGGCCAUAUAUCACUGAAACACUAGUUCCCUUGAGAUCAUCAAAGUUAAGAAACGCCAAGCCUGGUCAGUACCUGGAUGUCUGACCGCGUGGGAAUACCAGAUACCGUG